GUUUCCGCAGCAGGUCCAACUGGAUUUGGCAUCUGCGGGAGACUGCCCUUCAGCAGCUGGGACCUGRUAGAAAUCCUGUACCUUCAGCAAUUGUCCAUGAUGACUUAACUACAGAAAUGCAAGUGAUUGCGAUGGAUCAAGCUGUACCAAAUCAAUUUUCAGCAAUGAUCAAGACCCUAAUAAAAGGAAACAUGACUGUGCCACUGUGACUCAUAUCUGAACUCUGUAUUCAGUUUUAGUGAGCAGGUAGAAAUGUCUUAGAGGGGCCUUACUCCUGCGAGACCGCAGCUUCCCAUCGCCGYUGUAGAAAGAGCGGAGCUGCUCUUGCCGCCUUGCUCGGUGAGGAGGGCUGGUGGCAGGAAGCCACAACGGCUCUGUGUGUUUAUCUCUCCCCAUCUCACAGCCCUGACAGAGCAAGUCUAUUUGGAUAGCAAGAAGCUGCGGUAACCAAGCAGCCACAAAAUACUAAAAGGGACAUUUCCCAGCUACUUACAUGGCUAAGAGUAAGUGCAAAACAAGUUCUUUUUAACAAAACAAGUAUAUAUUUUCAUGAGACUAGAGUGAGAAAAACGAAUAGCAGCUUUUGCGUAGGUGCAUUUACUUACAUAAUCUUCAACAAAAUCUUUGCCCUUUAGAAUAAAUUCUGCUUCUCCCUAAUGAUUGGUUUUACU
rnacentral:lncRNA from 1 species